rnacentral:lncRNA from 10 species
GGACAGGACAGAUGAGGCAGAAGGGGAGGUUAGGGAGGUUUGAAGAGUGAGAAGAACUUCUGCAGUGGCUGACUUGGAAGAUGAAGGAGGUUAUGAACCAGGGAAUGGGGGCAGCCUCUAGAGGCUGAGAACCUGCUGACACCUACCCACAACCGCUAAGGAAAUGAAGACUUUAAUUCCACAACUGCAUGCAACUAAACUCAGCCAACAACCUGAAUAAGUCGGAAAAAGGCUUCUCCAGAGCCUCCAGAUAAGAGGCCAGGCUGGCGACACCUUGAUUUUGACCUUGUGAGACCUAGAGCAGAGAAACUAGCCAAGAUCACUCAGACUUCUGAUCUACAGAACUGUGAGACCGUAAAUUUAUGUUGUAUUAAGCCACUAAUUGCGUGGGAAUUUGUUACAGGAGCAAUAGAAAAUGAAUACACCUUCUGAUGUAGUUUAAUCAGUUGACAUUAGGGGUGACACCAAGAUGUGCUACACUGAACCCAACUUCUGCAUGUUUAAGACAAGAAUGUGCAUCUUUAUUUUUCCUGAAU